rnacentral:rRNA from 1 species
AUACGUAGGUGGCAAGCGUUAUCCGGAAUUAUUGGGCGUAAAGAGGGAGCAGGCGGCAGCAAGGGUCUGUGGUGAAAGCCUGAAGCUUAACUUCAGUAAGCCAUAGAAACCAGGCAGCUAGAGUGCAGGAGAGGAUCGUGGAAUUCUAUGUGUAGCGGUGAAAUGCGUAGAUAUAUGGAGGAACACCAGUGGCGAAGGCGACGAUCUGGCCUGCAACUGACGCUCAGUCCCGAAAGCGUGGGGAGCAAAUAGGAUUAGAUACCCUAGUAGUCCACGCCGUAAACGAUGAGUACUAAGUGUUGGAUGUCAAAGUUCAGUGCUGCAGUUAACGCAAUAAGUACUCCGCCUGAGUAGUACGUUCGCAAGAAUGAAACUCAAAGGAAUUGACGGGG